rnacentral:rRNA from 1 species
UACGGAGGGUGCAAACGUUGCUCGGAAUUAUUGGGCGUAAAGCGUACGUAGGCGGUCCAGCAAGUCGGGUGUGAAAGCCCUCGGCUUAACCGAGGAAGUGCAUUCGAAACUACAGGACUUGAAUACUGGAGAGGAUUGCGGAAUUCCCGGUGUAGAGGUGAAAUUCGUAGAUAUCGUAAGGAACACCAGUGGCGAAGGCGGCUGACUGGUCCGGGUCUGACGCUGAGGCGCGAAAGCGUGGGGAGCAAACAGG